UUUAGUUCAACCUUUGAUAGAAUCCUCCUGAUGUUAUUUAUAUUACAGAUACGUAGUGGACAGCUGGUCAGAAUUCAUUGACGUGCUACUCAUUGAAGGUUCUGCAUUUUAGCUGUUGUUGUUGAGAUAUGGCUCGAGGCAGAGGUCGAGGUAGCGGAGGUCGUGUAGGAAAGUCCUCAUUUAGGUGUGAUUCACAUCUCGGUCGUGCAAACAUGCCUACCAUUCCCAUUCCCACAUAAUUGCUUAGUCCUCAACAAGGUGGUACAAGUUCCGUAGGUGGGCCAGAUCCUAUAAACCAAGUUCAAACUUUAGGUGCGCCACCGGUUCAAGCCUCAGAUAUGGCUCGAGGAAAAGGUCGAGGUAGCGAAGGUCGUGUAGGAAAGUCGUCACUUAGGGGUAAUUCUGCUCGUCAUGCAAACAUGCCUACCAUUCCUAUUCCCACCACAGUUAGUCCUCAACAAGGUGGUACAAGUUCCGUAGGUGGGCCAGGUCCUAUAA